AUGUACCAGCAUCAACCUCAUCAAGGCCACAACAACCUCCUUUCCUCUAGGACAUCAUUCACUCCGGAGAGGGACUUGUUUCUGUUAAGAGGAAGUACCACAGGAGAGUUAGGAGUAGUUCUUUCAAGUGAUGCCAAGCCUAGACUUAAAUGGAUUCCUGAACUCCAUGAGAGAUUUGUAGCUGCAGUGAAUAAACUUGGUGGAGCAGACAGGGCUACCCCAAAAGCAAUUAUGAGACUGAUGGGCAUUCCAGGGCUAACUUUGUACCAUCUGAAAAGCCAUCUUCAGAAGUACAGGCUUGGCAAAAGAUUCCAGGCUCAGACAAAUACUGGAAGUAUAAAUAACUUUAUUGGCUGUACGCUAGCAGCAGAGAGAACACCAGAGGACAAUAAAUCAUCAAUAAGCACUGCAGUUCCGACAAACAAAAACAUGCAGAUUAAUGAAGCACUUAAAUUUCAAACUGUACAGAGAAGCUUACACGAACAACUUGAGGUGCAAAGACACUUACAAUUCCAAAUGGAGGCACAGGGAAAAUAUUUGCAGUCAGUGCUGGAGAAGGCCCAAGUGACUCUUAGGAAGCAGUACUUGGGUUCUGCGGGACUGGAAGUUGCCAAAAUCCAAAUCUCUGAACUGGUCUCCAAAGUCUCAAGUGAAUGUUUCAUCAAUUCAUUUGCAAGUCUGGAAGAAAUAAUAACCAGCCUAUGUUACAGGUAACUCCGGCCCAACUCACUGAUUGUUCGGCGGAUUGUUGUUUGAUCUCAUCUAAGGGACCGGAGAAGGAGCAAGUUAUCAGCCAGGGGUUAACAACUCAACAUGAAGAAUUUCCCUUAUGCAUGAAAAUACUUGGAGAACAUACCAGGCUUGGACAGACUCAACAGGCAUGGUGUAAUAAUCCGAAUGAGCAGAAGGCUUCAUCCAUUUUAAGAGAUUCAGAAAGGAAUUCUUUCCCAAUCCAGAGGGACAAAAACAUUAUACAAGCAAGCGUUAAGCCUCAAGGAGACAAUAGAGACAGUAGAAAUGUUCCUGAUGUAGGAAGAAAGGAAAGAGAUGGUGUAAACAAUUUUCUUGAGCAUCCAAGAAGCAAGAGCACGGCAGUUCAACAGGAGAAUAGACAGCAACCAGAUGGAUUUGCACUCACAUGUCUUACAACAGAACUAGAGCUAAAAAUAUAUGUAGGUGAUGAAGCUGCAUCAAGUUGUAAACAAUUUGACCUGAAUGGCUUCAGUUGGAACUGA